UGCGACAGAUCCUUUCUGGAUCACCUCUCUCCUGUAAUCCACUGGUUUAUUGCUGUAACUUACACUGUACCCUCAGACCAGCUGAAGCUCUGGCCUUAGGGCAUCCAGGACCUGCAGCUUCUAUGUACUGAAAUUUAAGGUGAUUCUGCCUUGCUGCUUUGCUCCUCCUGUCUGUAAUUCUUCAAGAAAUGGAUGCCACAGCUCUGGGAUGGCAACUUUUAAUACGCAUGGAUGUGCCCAGACAGGCUCUUCAUGGAGCCUGCUUCGUGACUGCAAUCAGAAGAUCUGUGAUGCACAUUCAGCACGCCUCAAGUUCUUCAACUGAAGUUUUAUUUUACCAUUCUAACUUGUCUUUUCAAAAACCUCUCCCCUUUUACCUCCUUUUCUGCUGCUAAUAGUGGAUGGCAGCUGUCUCGAGACCUCGGCGCUCCAUGCUUCUCUUGUCAAUGAAAGCGUUUUCCUGUUGGCAUUGACAGGCAGAAAUAUUUUCAUGCCAUCCUUAUGAAGUUUCCUCUGAUGGACUGGAUGAGUGCAACUGUUAGCUCUCUUAAGUGAUUCCACUCUUAUUUUUAAUUUGUGACUUUACAGCUCAAGAAUAUAUUUUCACAUUUAUCCCAGCUGUCUCUCUAACACAGAGAAGGGUGUGUGCAUUCAUGUGUAAGGGACCGAGCAAAGGAAUGCACUGUGUGAAGUUAUCUGCUGUUAAUAAAACCAACUUAUCAUAGCACCUUAAAUUAUUGACAAUGGUCUGUCUUGACCCAGUCAUCUUUCUUUUCUCUCCAUGAGAGAAAAGGAUAUUUAUGACAAAGGAAUACAAUGAAUUUGUUCAUACCUAUUUAUUUUUAAAAUACAUCCUUUCAUGGAGAUGCAUAUAAAUUAGAUUCCUGGUGAGGACAGCCUUCAGAAUGAAGUUUAAACUUUGAAAGUUCAGACUGAAGUACAACAUGUAUCUCUCAGGGAAAAAAUCAACUUGUUGAAAUGUUUAUAAGGUGAUCUUAAACACCAACUAGUUCUGAAAACCCAAAGAGCAUCUAGUAUGGGGGAGAAGCUUUAGGUAAUGAAGUUAAAGACCGAUUUUAAGUUUUGACUGGCUUAAAACAAAAGCAAAAAAAGGAUGGAAGAAAGGCUAUAAUUAUUGGAAGAACAUAAUGUGAUGCUUAGACAGGAUGUGAAAUUCGCUGAGGAACAUAUUGCAGCUAUAAUUAGAGAUAGUGUUUCAGUCACUUUAAAAAUGAGUCAUUAGAGAAUGCAUUAAAAAGAAAAAUUCUACAUCUGUUGGGUCUCCCAGUUGGGACAAAAACAUGAGACCUAAAAGGGAAAUGCAAAUUCUUUCUUCUAAGGAGCUCUGAGGUUAAAUUCCAGAAGUGAAGCACAAAUAAAGCUCUGAAGUUGGAAACCAACAAAAACAAGAGUAUAGAUGGCUUGUAAUACUUUCCCUACAUACUUCUAGAACAUGUACAAGAAGACUGAUACUUAUCCUGCAAGGAGUUGAAAUUGAUUGCUUAGGAGUUUUGCAGGGUAUUCCUCUCAUCUUUCAUCAUUCCAGUCGUAGGCAGGGGAAAAUAAUUCCACUGUAUGUUUUUUAAUGUACAUUAAAUAAGAACAGUUGAGUGACUUGUCCCAGUUCUUCUGUGCCCAUCUUCAAUAUGAAACAUGCUAGAUGGAGAGCAGCUUUUGCUAUUCAUUGCUCGUCUAUGAUAAACAGUUUUCAAUUAAUUUCUUUUCUAAUUGUGCUAGGACUAGAGGUGAGAAGCACAGAUGUCAAAAUCUGAUUGCAUUGGCUUUUGCAAAGAACUGAAUUUUCUGGGGGAGGAGAUGAUUGUGGGAAGGAGGUCAAUGCAUGUAUCUGGCACCACGUUGCUUUCAGGCUGCCUGCAUUAGGAAAUGUUCUACAAUAAAACAUUUGCCUAGCAAUUUUAAUUAAAUCAGCAAAUUAAAGGAAAAUGAGCUACACAGUAAAAAAGACAAUGCUACUAUUUGGUCCAACAUUUUUCUCUUUUUUUGGCCUCUAAUAUAGAUUACUCUGUGGAUAUCUUUAUUUCAGAUGAUGGUAAUCUGUUUAGAAAAGUGGUUUUCUGUGGAGUUUUGCCAUAGACUAAGCUUGGGUAGACUUGUAAUAAAAUAAGAUUAUUCAGUGUCCGUGGUCCACCUGGACUAAACAACCCCAAAACUAAACAAAUAAACAAAAAAACCCCAGGACAAACCUGGCAGAUUUGGGGUCUCUGUCAGUACACAAACAAUAUGGUUGUGAACUGAAGUGGAACUCAGGGGUGUAACAUAUUCCUGAGUCCAGUUAAGCAAAAAAAAGAAAAAAAGGUAUCCUCUGUACUUUGAAUUACUUGUGUGGCUUAUAAAACUUCUUGUUCAGUGCAAAUUGUUAAGACCAAUGAAUAGUUUUAGAACAAUUAAUUAUUUCAUCAUGCAAAAGGUAAGGUGAGAUAAAUUUGCAGCCAGUUAUUUUGGUCUUCAUCAUAAUGUCUGAAUGUGGUUAUUGCUGUAAUUAUCAGUGGAAUAAUGGUGUUCAAUUUAAGUUGCCUACAAGAGAUGAGUUCUCUUAAUUUGCAUGCUGGUUAAGCCUUAGGUCUAAGGAAGUGCACAGGAAAUGUUAUCCUAGAGAUGGUUUAAGACCAAACCACUGUAUUUGUCUGUUCACUGCCUUGUGGAUGCUGAACCUUCUCCUCUCCAGCCUUACAAAAUUCUCUUCAACAGCAUUCAAGACAAAGCAGCUUCUGGGCUUUUACAAGAAAUGAAAUCAUCUUAGAAUUAACUCAAUUCUCAUAAUAACUGCUAUAUUUUUUAUUUAGUUUUAUUAACUAGCGGUUGGAAGACAAGCUAUUGACAUCUUUCAUUAAACUCAGAGAUGUUUACUUAAUCUAUUAAUCCUGUCUCUGCUAAGCUGUCACAAAGAUGAUCUCUUGGAUAAGAACAAACUGUUCCCUGAGAAACUAAUAGAAAAGUUUUGUGCAGUUGUAUAGGUUAGCAAAAAUAAUGAGCUGUUUAUCCCUCUUGAAACGGAUAAAAUCAGGGUUUAAUUUAAAAUUAAAAUGAUUUUACCUUUACAUGUAAUCUCUAGGCAGGUCUGGUCUGUGGGUAUUUACAUCAGCCUAAGCAAGAGGUAUUGUCUAAAGCACCCAAAUAUUUUUAGCACACUUUGCUUUUCCUUGAAAAGAGGGGGGAAAUGCUCACCAGGCACAGAGGAUGCUGGAUCAGCUGUCUGCA